CGAGCGGCGAACGGGUGAGUAAUACAUCGGAACGUGUCCCGUAGUGGGGGAUAGCCCGGCGAAAGCCGGAUUAAUACCGCAUAUGCUCUACGGAGGAAAGUGGGGGACUCGCAAGGGCCUCACGUUAUGGGAGCGGCCGAUGUCCGAUUAGCUUGUUGGCGGGGUAAUGGCCCACCAAGGCGACGAUCGGUAGCCGGCCUGAGAGGGUGAUCGGCCACACCGGAACUGAGACACGGUCCGG
rnacentral:rRNA from 1 species